ensembl:lncRNA
GCUCCUUCCGUUAGGGACUUCCCCCGCUGGUGGGAGGGAGAGGAGGGGCGGCCCAGCAUGGCCCCGGGUCCGGCCUUACAGUUAUGUCUUUGGUUAGAAAGGAACAGAGACAUAUUUAGUCUCAAGUAAUGGGAGCUUAUUUGGCCAGAAAUGGAGGUGGACUCUAAUGAUAAGAAGUCAGGCCUCAUAAGAAGAGCAAAUGGACCCACGAAAGAUCCUACACGCCGUGGGCAACUAAGUCCUUGGCCACAAUUACUGAACCUGAUUGCACCAACUACUGAAGCCCCCGUGCCUAGAGCCCACAUGCUACAACUAAUGGAGCCUGACCACCUAGAGCUUGUGCUCCAUAAGAAAAGAAGCCACCACAGCGAGAAGCCCCUGCUCUGCACCUGGAGAGUAGCCCCUGCUCACUGCAACCAGAGAAAGCCCGCGUGCAGCAGUGAAGACUGAGCAUAGCCAAAG